rnacentral:lncRNA from 1 species
UGAAAUUCAUGGCACGGGAUGGCUUGGGCCAUCAUCACUGCUGAAGUAACAAGGUCUUUCUUCCUGCACAUCUUUUCUCUUGCUCUCAAUUACACUGUUCACCCUGCACCAAUCUGCACACAUGUCAUGGUUUUGUGAUUUUUGGUUAUUGGUAUUCCACAUCAUAACAUCAUGUAGUGGACAUACCUAGUUCUCAGAAGAGAAGGACUACUACAGUCCCCACGGUACUUUGCUCCUUUGUUACCAUUUUCCAGCCGGAGGGAAAAGAUAGAAGCUCGCAGUAUAAAAACUUGCAGAUCACGAGACCUCGUCCCUUUUUCCGCCGUCUCUCGUCUUGGCAGCACCUCGCUCUCCAGCCGUCUUAUCGUCGGUAGUAGAGUAAGGCCUACCUUGAUUUUGGGACAUUCUCUCUCUCUGUGUUGGAUUUAUCAGCUUAAAUUGUAAUUAUAUUGUAUUAUAGUGUGUUGUUUUGCAUUCCGAUAUCUUAUUUAGUAAAUUAGUUUGUUUCUCCUCAGAUUGUUGCCGCUGUUCUUUGCUCUCAGGGCCAUCUCCCUACCCUUUUCCCCCUUUCCCCUUUUCCCGGGACGUGGGCCCUUGGGUCCCCUGUCCCCUUCGUCACGGAAUCGGGCCUAACGCCCGUAAACCGUUGACAACACAUAAGACCCCUAUCAUCCUUACUUGCCAGAAAAGUGAAUCAGUAGGAAAAAAAGGCCUUUUUCUUGAUUAGAGACAGGAUAGGGCUGCAUGGAGACAGAUAAGAAGAACACCUCUUCUGGAGACCAUAUCUCCAUAGCAAUUUUGUUUACAUCAAUCUCUGGUUUCAUGGGUAGAGUUGAUCUCUGCACUGAGAAUAGGGUCUACACCCAGGGGUACCGAACUACAUGCUUUAAUGUUCUUCUUACUAUUCUGCAUGUAUGGAAUCCAAUGCACAGCAUGAACAAAUGUGAAUCUCAUAUUUGGAGAAGCAUGCUGUGGUUAGACUUAAGCUGCUAUUCGAAGUGUCACAUGAGAGACUGGAGGCAUCCACACUGCAGUUCAUUACACUAUAUAAAUACACGAAAUCUUCGCCCCAUGAACUAAAC